rnacentral:lncRNA from 1 species
UGAGGUUGGAAAAAAGCAAAUUAUCCCUUUCUCUUGUUCCCACAUAAAUGUGUUGGAAAAAUACAUAGUUGGUAACAUGGUUUUGUGGUGAGGUAGUUGGGAUUAGUGGGCGUUUAUCUCCUUCUUCCACACUGUUUUUUUGUUGUCUUUUAAGGCUUCAUCACAAAUCUUCCCAUACUUUAAGGCUUUAAUUUAGUCUAUCCUGAACGUAGUCGCCACUCUUCACAGCCCUUCAACUGGGCCAUUUGACCUUUUUUUUUUUGUGUUCUUCAUUUCUAGUUCCUACACUUAUGAUGUGGAUGUUUCAUUCGAUUCAGUGUUUACUUAUGUAACGGUCUUAAAACUGGUUCCUAGAAUUAGAAUGACUUCAUCAUGCCCA